rnacentral:rRNA from 1 species
AUGCAACAAGGGCACCCGGUACCGUAUCUGAGCAAAGCCUUCGCCCCCAAAAACCUGGGUUUAUCAGCGUAUGAGAAGGAAUGUCUAGCUCUGCUUCUGGCAAUCGAUCAUUGGCGGCCAUAUCUACAACAUGCAGAAUUCAUUGUGCGCACGAACCAGAAAAGCCUGUUGCAUCUCAUGGACCAACGGCUCAACACACCAAUUCAGCAACAUGCCUUCACCAAGCUCAUAGGCCUGUAGUUUGUGAUCCAGUACAAGGCGGGUCUCUCCAACCGAGAAGCAGAUGCACUAUCGCGGAAGGCACAUGGCACCCAGGCCGAGCUCGCAAUGAUAUCUAUCUGCAAACCGGCAUGGUUGGAGGCCAUCUGGCGCAGUUAUCGUACAGACGAGGUGGUCAAACAGCGCAUGGCCAAGAUAGCGCUUGAUCCACACAAUGAACCUGACUUUGCACUUCAGGAUGGAGUCCUCCGCUUCAAGAGCCAUAUUUGGAUAGGGGAUGACCCGGAAACGCAACAUCACUUGAUUCGCGUGCUCCACGCAAGUGCAGCAGGGGGGCACUCUGGGUUCCAUGCUACUUAUAAUCGGGUGAAGCAGCUCUUUGCUUGCAAGAACAUGAAGUAG